CCCCGAUUUCUACUCCUUACCAUGCUUCAACUUGUCAUCUGAGCGUUAGUGAAAAAGAAUAAAAAUUAAAAAUAAAAAUAUUAUAAUUAAAAAAAAUACAAUCACGAUGGCAGAGUUGUCGGAAACGACCGCGCGACCCGGGGAGACCGCGGCGUCUCCAGCAAAGCAAGCGCUUCCAGAGAGAACCGAGUCCGAGUCGAAGAACAACACAGGCAGCUCCGCCAACAGCCCGCUACCGAAAAUGAGAUGGCAGUGUUUGGCACCCAAGCGCGCUCUUGGAAAGUCAGAUGUGAUGAUUCGGCGGUUAGACCGGCUCAUCUCCACCACAUCCGGCCAAGAACGGCUCCUCGCAUUGAUCCAAUAUAACUCGGAAAUCCUGUACUACCUCCUCCGCUCGCCACCACUCCGCUCCAUCAUCACGCGCUUGCGCUCCAUCCUCCUCCGCUCAUCAUCGCCAUCACCACCAUCAUCACCACCGCCACCACGACCACCACAACCAAAACAGCCACGCCUCCUCGCCCUCUCCUCCUUGAUUUCCGAAACGCGCACAACGAUCCGCCUCCUCGGCCUCCUUUCGCUCUGGUCCUGGGGCUCGGAAACCCUGGCGGCACCGCCCGCUGACCCUGUGCUCCGCACGAUCGCGUACGCGCAGAUAGGGGCCAACGUGGUGUACCAGGUGCUGGAGAAUGUGGCACACCUGGCGGCGAAGGGGGUGGUGAGCCGGCGGGCGGUGGAGCGGUGGGGGUCUGUGGGCAGGUGGUAUGCGUGGAGCACGCGGGCGUGGUUGGGGCAUGUGCUGUUAGAGUUCGUGAGGGUGUGGAGGGAGUAUGUGUUGGCGGGCCGGGAGGGGAGGGGGAAGAUGGGCACGGGCAUGGGCACGGGCACGGGCACGGGCAUGGGGGACAGGGAAGGGGAAGGGGAUGGGGAUGGAGGAAGUGAACUGGAUCUAGAAUUGGAACCGCAGAGGGAACGACAGAGGGAGAGGGAAAGG
rnacentral:sRNA from 1 species